GCUCAACUGUAGAAUUGCCWUUGAUACUGGUUGUCUUGAAUUAUUGUGAAGUAUUUAGAAUAAGUAGUGUAGCGGUGAAAUGCAUAGAUAUUACUUAGAAUACCAAUUGCGAAGGCAGAGUACURACAAUAUAUUGACGCUGAUGGACGAAAGCGUGGGGAGCGAACAGGAUUAGAUACCCUGGUAGUCCACGCCGUAAACGAUGGAUACUAGCUGUACGGUAGCAAUACUGUGUGGCUAAGCGAAAGUGAUAAGUAUCCCACCUGGGGAGUACGUUCGC
rnacentral:rRNA from 1 species